rnacentral:misc_RNA from 1 species
ACUCUCGUAUAUAUAUAUAUAUACUAGCAAAUGUACUCGCGCCAUUUAUUUCGUUGGCUUCACGAAGAUGGUGGUUCACAAUGGCUCACGUUCGCAGUGAUAGUUCAUAAUGCUCCACUGUUUCUGCACUAACAAAAAAAGAUGAUGGAUGAUGAUGUGUUUGACAUCCGCCAGAUAGCACUGAGGAGGCAGCAAAGACGGUUGCACGCUCGCGCUUCCGUUGAACAACUUUUGGAAACAGAAGCUGCCACCUUUGGAAAGUGUCGAUCUAGCUCCUUUGACACCAAGAAUUUUGGGACUAAUUCAAAUAAUGGAACACAAAAUACUUUUGUUAGCACAAUGGCGGUUCCGCUCUUUGAAGAUGACUCUAGAUUGAGUAGGAUGCACGUACCGCCCAUCGUUAAAUGCGAGUGUAAUGGAGUAGAAGGUUAUGCUUUGAUCAACACAGGAGCAAUGGCAACAACGAUAUCAAUGAACAUGGUGAAAAAAUUAAGGCAAACAGAUCAGAUAGUCCAUGAUGCCUCCGCUAUUUUGAAUCCACUGGGGCUCCCUCUUCCAGAGUUCAAGGGAAAAGUUAAGUAUGUGGAUUUAACACUAGGACGUUGGCACCAGGUGUCUCAGUUCUUUGUAGUGGACGACACUGUGCCAGAAGUCAGCCUUGGCGUGGACUUUCUUAGGAAGACUCAAAGUGUUGUGCAUCUUGAAGAUGCCUCUCUCAGAAUAGGAGGACAAAAAGGAGAAAGAGUUUCGUUUCUCACCACUAGGGAUGUCAUAACGUUGUUCCAAAAAAAACACUAAAAACUCAUAAGGAUAAUUUUGCUUUCUUUUUUUUCCAGAACCUAUUGUCAAAGAUCGCUGAUAUCUUUAUACGUUACGUUAAUUAUGAACAAGUAAUGUUUUAUUAUGACAGCGCCUCAUCCUAAGUUUUAUUUGUAUUUUCUUUUAAAGUUUCUCUUUAUUAAUUCUGUACGACUCUCGUAUUUUUUUAGUAGUUUAUUAUGAUUGCAUGGCCAAAAAUAUCACAGAAAUUUCUUCACGAAUUACUACUUUGGAUAUAUUUUCAAUUUUCAGAAUAACUAUUAGUGCAAUUGACUGAUAAAUUUACUUGUAAUGUCUAUGGAGUUUAUUAUCAGUAGUGGGCAAAAAAUAACGAUUAACGAAAAAACUAAGUUAUCAGAAAUGCAUGUAAAACGCACAAAAAAACCCAUAUAGAUUGUUAAUACUGUUUUUGUUUAAUCUAUUGAAAUUGAUAAUUAAAUAAAAAUGAUAAAUAGCAUUGACGCAGGUAUUGAAUUUUAAACUAAAGUAACCUGAUAUUUUUUGAAGUAAGAAUAUAUAUGUUCUACUUAACAAAAAUAAUUUGCACUUGUGUGGAAAUCUUUAGAAUUAGAAAAAAUGUUCACAAAUUGAAAAAAAAGAAAAAGAAACUUAAACAGAAAAAAAGUAUUCAGUUUCAGCCAAAGGUUUUUAUAUAUUUAAUAUGUGAAUGACACGGUUGUUAAUAUCUAUAAUUUUAGUAAUUUAUUUAAUAAUAGUUUAUGGUAAUUAUAUCUGUUUAAUUGUUACAAUAUUUUGUUUUUACAGGGAUGAUAGAUAACUUAGGUUUUCAGAACAUAUCUGAUUUUUGUAAACCAUAAACAUUGUUCUUCUCUGUCCAGAAAAUAACAUCAAGCAGUAGAAGUUAUUUUAUGACGAAGUUAAAACUGUAGGUUCGAUUAGAAUCAAUAACAACAAAAAAGGCUUACCUGCUGGUGAUAAUUUGUGCAUUAGAAGUUAUAUUAUGACGAGGUUAAAACUGUAGGUUCGAUUAGAAUCAACAAAAAAAGGCUUACCUGCUGGUGAUAAUUUGUACAUUUUCACCUGAUGCGACUUAAUUUGAUUAUAAAUAAUAAACCAGUGCUCGAUCCAAUUAUGAAUAUCGAACGCCCUUAACAAUUUUAAAAUUUGUAAAAAAAUAAUUUUCACUCACUCCGCUUAUGAAAUAUUCGUUUCUAAUCUAUGUAUUUGAAAAAGGUAUAUUUAGUUCGUGUGUUCGUUAAAGUAACAAUUGAUUUGUAAAAUACGUAGUAUGAUCUUUCUUACUUAUGAUUGAAAGUGUUUUAAUAAGAUGAUAACUACCGUACUUAAUUGUGGAAACUAUGAAAAAGGCUGUGAUUAAGUUUUCAAACAAUCUAAAUAUUCAUGGAGCAAUGUGUUGAAAUGUUUUGUUUUCAGAUAAACGUAAUUAUAUGCUUGUGUAUAAGAUACAGGUAACAAUUCUUUACCAGAAAUUUGACAGUGGCUAUUUUGUACUUCUUUACUCACUUUCUUAGAAGUAAUUUUGUCUUUAUCUGAUAGGUUUUAGCUCUUAUUAUAGAAUCUAGGACGAUAUAGUAAUAAAUCUCUCUUUGGAAGGAAGGCGUGAGUUAAUGACUGUAACCAGUAACAACGCAUAUGAAAGCUGACCAUUAAAUAACACUGUAGUUCCAUGAAAUAUCAUUAAAGAUAGUUAGCAAUAUUAGGUACAAUUUUAAGCCAGUUUCUUAAGCUGAACAGUGUUAUUUAAAAACAUUUGUUUUUGUUCAUGAUGGAACAGUUUUUCGACUUAUAGGCCGGACCCAUCUUUUUAUUAAAUAUUUAGCAUGGGGUCAGAGACGUUGUUAUUAACAGACAAGGCAGGAGCAGUCCACAAAAACCUACGUAAAAAAACAACAACAACAAUUCAAAAAUCUCUUUAUCUGUAGAAGGUUUUAGAGCAAAUUAUAUUUCUGAAAGUGAUAUUUUCUUAGUACUAAAAAUCGUUUAAUUCAGUAAGUAGUAAUUAUAAGAAUCUGAGAUCGUAGGAUCAAUGUUUUGGAUCAGACCAAUAAUCUAUUUCGCUGGAUUGCUAGUUCCAGAGGGUUGUAUGUAUUUUUCUGUAGCAAGACAGCAGCGUCUUUAAAAAGGCCAGUACAUCAAACAAGCGAUUGCAUAAUAGCAUAUUACUAGAAAUGGAAGUAUAGGAAGACAAAAACUCUAUUGGAAAAUCCUGAAAUCUAAGGUCCCGGCAUGGCCUGAUGGUUAGGGCACUCGACUCACAAUCUGCGGGUCGCGGGUUUGAAU